UACGUAGGGCGCAAGCGUUAUCCGGAAUUAUUGGGCGUAAAGCGCACGUAGGCGGCUUUGCAAGUCCCAUGUGAAAUCCCACGGCUCAACCGUGGAAGUGCAUGGGAAACUGCAGAGCUUGAGUACUUAAGAGGAUCGCGGAAUUCCCGGUGUAGAGGUGAAAUUCGUAGAUAUCGGGAGGAACACCAGUGGCGAAGGCGGCGAUCUGGGAAGAUACUGACGCUGAGGUGCGAAAGCGUGGGGAGCAAACAGG
rnacentral:rRNA from 1 species